ACGUGGGGCACCUCUAAAAACAGCUGUUUCAGUCCUCGUCUGGUCACAGUAGCACCUCUGGCCUUUCUGCACCGGCCACCACUGACUGGUUUUUCUCCUGGUUCUGGGUCACGUUUCCCUGUUCCUCUGCACGCCUGGCCUUCCACCACCCCCCACGAAAUAUUGCACGGUCAGGUGCUGGAUUUUGUUGUAUUCCUUUAGUUGCUGUUGGAUUUUGUUCUGGCAUCCAUGAGUUCCUGAUACCCAUAUGAUCUUUGGAGCUCUGCUUCUAAGCUUUGCAGGAUGAAUCCAGGGCUGCCUUUAGUCUAGGGUUGGUUUAGAAUCAGCACUCGAGAGAGACUCUUAUGAGGACCCUUCCCGACAUCCUGUGUAUUAUACAGUUUGGUGGGAACACAAACUGUCUCCAGACCCAUGUGGGCUGAGCUGCGGGGGCUCUUCUCCAGCCUCAGGUGGUUUUUCUUCAUGCAUGUGUGGAUCCAUAUUCAGCCAAAGACCUCAGGGUCUCUGCAGAUCCCUGGAGUUCUCUCUCUUUCUCUCUCUCUUCUCCCCUUUCUAUCUCUCUCUCCCUCUCUGUAUCCCUGUUUCUCCCUCUGUCUUUAUCGCUUCCUCCCUCUCUUCCCCCCCUUCCUCUCUUGCUCUCCCUCUCUCCCUCUCUGCAUAUCUCUGCCUCUGUCUCUCUCCUUCUCUGUCUUUCUCUCUUCCCCACCACCCUUCAAAUAUCUGCCCUGAAAAUUCUAGUUGCCUCAUCCUUGCUGAGUUCUGACCUCUGUCUCCUCACCUUGGUGAGACCCAGGGCCCAGCCUGGAGACUUGGUCGGCUGGAAGAUCACCAGGCUUCCCUGGCUGGUUGCACGUCUUUCACAGAUCACCCAUGGUGCAUCGUCCAGCAUUUGAGAACUUGCUUCACAAACUGCGACUGCAUCCCGGUUGCUGGUUGUGUGCAGUGAAGGCCACAUGUGGUCCUAACUGCUCCAUCACAGCCCAAAGAGGAAGAAGGACCUGGCAGUGUUAACUUGGAACAUGGUUAAAGUUGUAGCUGGCAGGUUUCUCCAAUGUCACGUUGAUGUUCUCGGCUUGGUAAUUUCUAUUUUGUGGGAAGAGACUUGAUGCUACAUAACUUCCUGUGGCUUCUGAGACUUUUACUCACUAGUUUUAGCAUCAGUUGAGGAUUUGUGCCUAAAUAAUUACUGUGCCAGUUGCCAAAUGACACUUGUAAUCUCGUUCUUCCUUCUAUAUUUAUUAGUUGGAAUCCUACUAUAUUUACUAGUUGGGAGGAGAGGGGAGGGGAGGAAUAAAUAUGUUUUAAGUGUUAAAGGAAAGGGGAAGGGAAGGGAAGACAAGGAACGCUUUCCUCUUCUUCCACGGCCUGGGAUGGCCCAGCCAGGGCCAGGCCCUGGAUCCUCCUGCAACACACUGCCCGACGCAGUCGCUGUCACUUCAGGCAGAGCCCGAACUCCUGGGCGUACCUGCGAGAGCGGAGAGGCAGCAAUCUGAUCAUCACAUUGCAUACAAACAAGAACUGCUGAAAAAUAUGAACUGUGAGGCUAAAGCAAUCCUGGUAGAAACUCAAAAACAUGGCUGGGCUGGGUGCAGUGAGUCAUGCCUGUAAUCCCAGUAUUUUGGGAAGCCAAGGUGAGCACAUUGCUUGAGCUGAGGAGUUCAAGACUAGCCUGGGUAACGUGGGAAGAUCCCAUCUCUACAAAACAUACAAACAUUAGCCGGGCAUGGUGGUUCGUGCCUGUUGUCCCAGCUACUUGGGAGGCUGAGGCGAGAGGAUUGCUUGAGCCCAGGAGGUUGAGGCUCAGUGAGCCAUGAUUGCACCACUGCACUCCAGCCUUGGAAAAAGAAAAAAAAA
rnacentral:lncRNA from 1 species